AGCAAAGCAAACCCUACCCUAAAAAUUGGAUAAGACACAGCAAAGACAAAGACAAAGGAAGGCAAGAGAAAAGGCAAGGUCAACGGUGAGAGCAAAGCAACGACAACAACAUUGAGAAUUGUAGCGGAAAAUGGCAACAACAAAUUCUUCCAUAUCAAUUUUAGCUAAUUCAUGCAGACACGACUUCUCUUCACUCCCUUGCUCUCCCUGAAAAGAAGGGUUGUCGGAGUCAAGAAAUAUGCAAUAUCUUUAUGAGAAAGAGAAAACAAAUCAUUUUCACUCCCUCUCCCCCCCUUGAAAAGGAGGGAAGAAGAGCACUUAAAUUGCAAAGAGAGCGCAAAUACAUGUCACAAGAAAAAAUAAAAUGAACCUAAUAUUCUUCAACAGUAUAUGGAAACCUUGCAAGUUGCAAUAUAAACCUCAUGCUGUUUACGACAUACAAGAUUUAAUUUGAAGUUGAUGUUUUUCUUCUUUAUGGAAUGUAGAGUAAAAAAAAAAAAAAACAACCAAAAUAUUAGAAGAUUUUCAAAAACUAUCUGAAAUUAAUUAACCCAAAAACCAUAUGAUUAAUAAAAAUUCUUGGUCAUCUAAAACAAGAAAAAAACCGCAAGUAUAUGAUACAAGCACUCAAAAACACACGUAAAAAAAAGCUGGAUAUCCAAGUUACUUGGAAUGUUACAAUAUAUUUGGUGCACUAAAUUACCAUCCAUACAUACGUACAUGACCAGCCGCAGUAGAAGGUGGGAGGGAAAUCAAGGGUCAUCGUUUAACUUCCAGCGUUGGCAUUUGGAGACUUCUACCAAGUCCUCCGCUGAAAGAACAAAGCCUUCUACGUUUGUUUGACAUUGCACAUUUUCGGAGCAGAUAGGAUGACUGUGAAUCCCAGAUUGGUUGGAC
rnacentral:lncRNA from 1 species